AUUGAACGCUGGCGGCAGGCCUAACACAUGCAAGUCGAGCGGCAGCGGGAAAGUAGCUUGCUACUUUUGCCGGCGAGCGGCGGACGGGUGAGUAAUGCCUGGGGAUCUGCCCAGUCGAGGGGGAUAACUACUGGAAACGGUAGCUAAUACCGCAUACGCCCUACGGGGGAAAGCAGGGGACCUUCGGGCCUUGCGCGAUUAGAUGAACCCGGGUGGGAUUAGCUAGUUGGUGAGGUAAUGGCUCACCAAGGCGACGAUCCCUCGCUGGUCUGAGAGGAUGAUCAGCCACACUGGAACUGAGACACGGUCCAGACUCCUACGGGAGGCAGCAGUGGGGAAUAUUGCACAAUGGGGGAAACCCUGAUGCAGCCAUGCCGCGUGUGUGAAGAAGGCCUUCGGGUUGUAAAGCACUUUCAGCGAGGAGGAAAGGUUGGUAGCUAAUAACUGCCAGCUGUGACGUUACUCGCAGAAUAAGCACCGGCUAACUCUGUGCCAGCCGCCGCGGUAAUAC
rnacentral:rRNA from 1 species